rnacentral:lncRNA from 1 species
AUGUCUCCAAGAAAACACAAAAACAGAGAAAUAGUGGUAAAGCCCAGCGCUCCUCUUUGUGAUCAAGAGGACAAUAUUCAAAUGCAGAAUAUGUGCUUGGAAGAAAUGCAUGAGAAAAAUCUCAUGAACAAUCACAAUACGCGACACCCGCCCCAGCCAGAGUACAUCUAUUACGUCUGGCAAAGUUUUUUUAAACAACGAGCGGAGAUUAUGUUCCUGAGAGAGGAAUAUGAGAGAAGGACCGCUGAGGUAGAUAGAUUGUUCAGCCAGCUUCUUGAAAAGGAAGAUAUUCAAAAGGAGAAAGAAAUGGAAGUCCUAGACAUGCGCGGAAGGAUCUUUGAGCUCCAAGCAAAGCUUAAUAAAGCACAAGAAAAACCAACAGAAGAAGUCCUCCAACAGAAGAAAAACGAGCAGGACAAGGACAAAAAGAUUCAGGAGCUGCAAGUAAAGCUUGAUGAAGCUUUGCAAAAAAAUGAAGAAAUCCUCCAAGAGAAGAAACAACUGGUCAUAAAACUCCAAGGCACAGAGAUAAAUCACAAAGUGCUGAAAGGAAGGGUUGAGUUUCUUCAAAAGAAAGCGCAACAGACCACGAAACAGGAAGAUACGGAUUGCAAGCUUCAGGACAUGGAAAAACACAACAAAGGCUUGCAAAUAAAGCUUGAUGAAGCGCUGCAAAAAAAUAAAGAACUCCUCCAAGAAAAAGAGCAAAUGGACGUAAAGCAGCGCAAACUCCAAGGCAUGGAGGAAAAGUACAAAGCGCUUCAGGCAAGGCAUGAUAAAACCAUGAACAAGAAUAAAGAGUUGCUUCAAGAAAAAAAGCAACAAGAAAUUAAACAGAAAGAAAUGGACUGCAAGCUUGAAGACGUGGAGGAAAAAUACACAGCACUGAAAAUAAAGCUCGAGAAAACAGUGCAAAGAAAUAAGGAUUUCGUACAAGAGAAAGAACAGCAGGACAUGAAAGACAGAUCUGGAUUGCAAGCUUCAGAGCAUCAAGGAACACAACAAAGGUUUGCAAGUUAUGCUUGA